CCUACGGGAGGCAGCAGUGGGGAAUAUUGGACAAUGGGGGCAACCCUGAUCCAGCCAUGCCGCGUGUGUGAAGAAGGCCCUCGGGUUGUAAAGCACUUUCAGUGAGGAAGAACGCCUGGUGGUUAAUACCCAUCAGGAAAGACAUCACUCACAGAAGAAGCACCGGCUAACUCCGUGCCAGCAGCCGCGGUAAUACGGAGGGUGCGAGCGUUAAUCGGAAUUACUGGGCGUAAAGCGCGCGUAGGUGGCUUGAUAAGCCGGUUGUGAAAGCCCCGGGCUCAACCUGGGAACGGCAUCCGGAACUGUCAAGCUAGAGUGCAGGAGAGGAAGGUAGAAUUCCCGGUGUAGCGGUGAAAUGCGUAGAGAUCGGGAGGAAUACCAGUGGCGAAGGCGGCCUUCUGGACUGACACUGACCCUGAGGUGCGAAAGCGUGGGUAGCAAACAGGAUUAGAUACCCGAGUAGUC
rnacentral:rRNA from 1 species